CUCGGCCAAUAAAGCGAGAGGAGUGCGCAAUCUCAGAGUCGGCCAUGACUGGACCUUUUAUCAGAUCAAGGCCAGGUCUUAUGUUCAAUGGAUGAAAGCUGUGUGUUAGUUGCAAAGACUGCAGUCUACCUUCUUUAGUGUUCCUUGUUACUCUAAAUCGAGUUGAGCCGUAAAAUAGUAGAUAAUAAAACAUUAAAACAAUAAACCACUAGGCUAAAAGCAAAGAAAACAAAAUGACAACUAAAAAUAUAAACAUAGGGUCAGAAGAUGGCUAAAACCUAAUUAAAAGCUUAAUUGAAGGCAGGAGGUUCUGGCUAGGCUGCUACCUCCGUCACCAUUUUGGCUCACAAAUGUUUGGUUGCUGCUGCUGUUGCUGUUGUUUUUAUUGUUGAUGUUGCUGCUGUGCACGUGUCCUAGGGGUACUAGGAGGCCAUUUUAGAUGAAGGCAGAGUGACCGGAAAGAGGCGCCACCAGAGGAGAGGCAAAUUAAGACAUGCCACCACCGCCAUAUUGGUUGAGGGCAGUUGGGCCUAGCCUGGCCAUUUUGUGGCACUGGUCUCCCUUGUGAGCAUUUCCCUGAGCGCUAAGCUCCUUCAGGAGCUGCCCAGGUAGACUGCCACUGGCACGGGAGGCUCCACCCGAGAGAAGAAGCGCCUAGGAAGGCCAGGGUAGCCCCACAAGCUGGGCCUCCAUUUCUUAGCUGGGACAUUUCUUAGCUCCAGGAACCCAAGUGCUGGCGCCUGCAACUUUGCCUGUGACUGCUGGGAUUGCUCUGACAAGAUCCAUUGACACUAGUUUUGGCGUCACCAAAGGAAUCAGGGAGAUGUGCUUCAAUUCCCCUCGCAGAUAGUAUUUAACCCAUCACAGCACCUCUCAAAGCACCCUGGGAACUGUAGUUUCCUAUGGGGGAGAGAAUAUUCUGCACAACCUUUCCCAAGGGAACUCUGGGAGUUAUAACUCUGAGAGGGUCUCUUUGGGAAACAGAACAAACUACAGUUCCCACGAUGUCCCCCAAAGCACCCUGGGAACUAUUGCUUGCUCUGGGUGUUGAGGGUUGCGAAUCCCUUGACAGAUCUAGUUCCCAAGCCCAUUUCUUUUCCUAGGGAACUCUGGGAACUGUACCUCAUGGGAGGAACAUCACUUGGUGUCCUGAAUAACUAACCCUCCCAAAAUACCUGCCAACCA